rnacentral:rRNA from 1 species
AGAGUUUGAUCAUGGCUCAGGACGAACGCUGGCGGCGUGCUUAACACAUGCAAGUCGAACGGAGCACCUUCGAAAGAGACUUCGGUCAAUGGAAAAGAAUGCUUAGUGGCGGACGGGUGAGUAACGCGUGAGGAACCUGCCUUUCAGUGGGGGACAACAGUUGGAAACGACUGCUAAUACCGCAUAACGUACGGGUAUCGCAUGGUAUCUGUACCAAAGAUUUAUCGCUGAGAGAUGGCCUCGCGUCUGAUUAGCUAGUUGGUAGGGUAACGGCCUACCAAGGCGACGAUCAGUAGCCGGACUGAGAGGUUGGCCGGCCACAUUGGGACUGAGAUACGGCCCAGACUCCUACGGGAGGCAGCAGUGGGGAAUAUUGGGCAAUGGGCGAAAGCCUGACCCAGCAACGCCGCGUGAAGGAAGAAGGCUUUCGGGUUGUAAACUUCUUUUGACAGGGAAGAGCANAAGACGGUACCUGUCGAAUAAGCCACGGCUAACUACGUGCCAGCAGCCGCGGUAAUACGUAGGUGGCAAGCGUUGUCCGGAUUUACUGGGUGUAA